UUAUUUGAAAUGUAAAUUGAUUAGCCAAGAUUAUUAUAAGUUAAGAUCUUUAAAAUUAAAAAAUUUGGCGGUAUUUUAGUCUAUUCAGAGGAACCUGUUUUUUAAUUGAUAGUCCACGAUAAUUUUUACCUUAGUUUUAAAUUUACAUAUCGUCGUUUAUAAAAAUUUUAGGAGGAUUUAAAUUUUUGGGAUUUUUAAUUUUAAAGUAUUUCAGAUCAAGGUGUAGUUUAUACUGAGGUUAAAAUGGGUUACAAUAAUUUUAAUUUUGGAUUUUAUUUUUUGAAAAUAGAUGAAAAUGGAUUUGAUAGUAAAUUUUUUAUUUUUGGGGGUUGAUUUAGCUCUAAAAUAUG
rnacentral:rRNA from 1 species